rnacentral:misc_RNA from 1 species
GGGGAAAGCUUAAUUUUUUAUCUGGUGGCUCAGCUGAAUGCCAUUAACAAGUUCUGAUCGUCAGUAGCCGCUGAAACUGGCCCUCUCCGCUUGAAUACUUCUAUGCACCCACAAGACAUAAGCAGUACUCUCCAGUCUCCAGACCAACAACAACUAGUCUCUGCUGAAACAGAACUCAUAUCACCUCACCAAGUGGUGAUAUGGUAAGAAGUAAUACUACACAUUCUCAUAACUACACACCAUGACUGCAAAAGGGGAAGAAAAAAA